rnacentral:lncRNA from 1 species
CGGGGAGGAAACAAGGGAAAGUUUGGGGAACACCAGGUUUGGGGGUCAAUGAGGAAAAGUGGGGAAUUCUCACACUGCAUCUGAGCAGCUUCGCUGUCACCUUCCCUCGGCCUCUGCCUGGUGCAGGGGAGCCAGGUGCCUUCUCAGGAGCCCCACCCGAGGAGGCGUCAUCAGGAGCCGCCUUGACUUUGAAAUAUCUCCUCGAUGCCUGAUUUCGUUUCCAUUUAAACCUCUCAGAAUGUGGCAUAGGGAAUGUUGGGCUCACCUUCACGCGAAGAAUCUUGGGGUUACAAAAUCGAGAGCAACAUAAUUUUCCGGAUGUUUCCUAGAUGUCAGACCUCGAGCCUCGACGGCCCUGAAGUCCUAGUGUUUGCACAAAGUGGUAGCACCAGACCGGGGGAAGCCGAGAGCGAGAUUCGGGGGUGGGGGUGUGUGUGGAAUGGGGCUGCGCUGUAAGUGACGGGACGAGACUCCCGAUAUUUAAUUCAGCUUUUUUUUUCAGAAGGAAAAGGAAAAAAUAAUGAGCCUCGGAGAUGCUCCUUCCGCAUUAACCAGCUAUCUAUAGACCUGGCUGCAUCGGACUGCGGGAGCCGCGGACUCCCGAGAGCGUGGCCUGGCGUCCGUACCGGGUGGAAUUCGUAUUUGGCCAGGAAUCCGGACUCCGAGCAUCCCAGGAGACGCGGACCAGGGGCCUCUCGAGCUCUCCGGAGGGUGCUGCCGCUCCCACCAGCCACCAGGGACUCGGAGGCCCUUCCUAGGAACCCCCGGCUGUCUCGCGACGGCUCCUCCGAGCCCCCUGCCCACCGGCCUCUGAGCCCCUCCCCUGAUGUUGAGAGGCCUGUGAUGGAGCGCCACCAGAAAAUUAGUGGUUGACAACGUCGUCUAUUGGCAAUAAAUUGUUUGCGAUUCCGAGUGACACUUCGCGGAUCAAACACAGCCACACCGUGUACCCUGCUGCACUCGCUCCUCGUUAAUCUUGGAGGGUGCCUUGGCAUCGCUGGCAAGGAGAGGUUGCGCGCAGGCCUUUCGGCUGUCAGGACCCUGGUCCUGCCUGGACUUAGCCAGGGCAGAGCCCACUUGAGUCAUUCAGGAGGGACUGACUGCCCCUCCCUGAGAAGGUCCAAAGAGCUCAGGAGGCGUGACCGAGGCGCGCCUCUCAAUAAGCAAAAGGUUAUGAAAGUCAGGAGCUUCCAGGCGCAAACUCUGAAUUGAGCUUGUAGGGAAUCGAAGUGAGCCUUGCUGGGAAUUCAGGACAUCAAGGUCUGGCCUUGUCUGGAAUUGUCUAGUGUUGAGUUUCCCAAACUUCAAGCUUUCUGUUACCGCCUUUAUUAUUUACUUAACAUUUUUCCUUAAAUUGACUCAUUUUGAAAACCUAAGUACAUAUUUUUGAAAAGAAAACCUGAUACUACCACUGUAAAUUGAAAAGUAGCUGUUACUCACCAGAAAAGGAAAUGGUAAAAGAUAAACACAGCUAAAACCAAGCAAUGUUAAUACACUUUAGCCGUUCUGCGGGCUUGGAAAGACUCUUGGAGGUUCAGGUGUGCGUGUGUGUGUGUGUGUGUGUGUGUGAGAUUUAGCAAGGGUUGGGGAUGUUCAAUACUGAAUCUUUCUCAGAAGAAAUGAGACAAUCGAUAAGAAAAUGUUUCUCACUAUUCAAUGCUCAUUUAAUUCAAUGUUAAUUUAAUUCUCUGACCCCAGACUGCACCUACCUAAAAUAAUAUUAAGGACCUCAAGAGCUGGACUAUUUAGGACUAUUAAAGAACAUGUAAAAAAAUUAAGAUUAAAAACAUAACAUGUUGAUUCAUUAUUAUUUACCAAAUAAUUGUGUUAAACAUUUUCUAACAGUAACGUAUUUAAUUCUCACUAUAAGUCUACAAGUGAGAGGCUAUCCAGGGUGGCCACGUGCGGUAGUACAGGAUGUUGACUGAACAAGGGCAUCCAGCCAAAGGGCUAAAAGGGUGUGAAGUCCAGCCCCUCUGUGUUCACCAAUAUGUGUAGGUUUGGGGCCACACUGGAGGAACAGUACCCUUCUCUCAUAUGCACGCAUUAUGUAAAAAAUUUGUGCAAAGUUGGGUUAUGACCUAACCCUAAUCUUAGAGAUGGGGAAACUAAGGCUUAGAGAGUUUUGCAAAGCCCAAGCUAGAAUCCUGUCUGAUAUUUUUAACUAUGAUCCCUUUGCGGGGA